AGAACUGCAGAUAGUACAGCUUCCACAGGAGCAAGGGAUGUCUGAGCACAAGUGGCUGAGUUCCGAGUGACUUUAUGAAGCACUUUCUACCUUCCUCUCCGGCAUGAAAACAGGGAUUCUGCACCUGCAUCAUGGACAGUCUGGCAAAAGCCUCUGCUCUGCCUCCGGGGACAAGAAACUAGAGCAAAUAACCGUUUUGAAAUUGUAAGUAUACCUUUCUUUCCGUCAAGUGUACUGAUUAAAAUAGUUUUAUGUCAUAAACAUCCAAUAUUUGAAGAUUUCUUAAGGGUACUCUUUCAUGUGUAUAUUGAAGGUUAUUCAGCUGGCAGGAAAAUAUUCCAGGGACAAUUGUUGCAUACUUUAUUCUGUUGAGGAUAAAGAAUUAAAAAUAAAAGUCAGGCAUUCCAAAGAGUAGCUGUAGGAGGCUGUGCGCUGGAACAUCGCUCUAGUGUGCUGCUUUGUUCAUAAGAAAAAAUGAAGGCACACGCAUAUGUACUUAGUUCACUUCUUUUUGCUCUUUAUGUCUAAUCAGAUUUGCUCUGUCCCCAAGAAAAAUAAAAGACAAACUUUGCUGACUCCACUGACAAGGGCACCAUAGACUUUCCAGACAUCUGACAGUUAUUAUAAUUAGCUAUGAAAGACUGCAAAGACACUUGGGGGCAAAUAGCUCUUAAAUUCUGAACAAUGGCUUCAAGCCAGGGCUUUAUAUGUUUUUUUAACCACCACUUUUAAUUUUAUAAUAAGGAUAGAGACUGAACUGGUUUCGGUGUUGUAGUCCACACAAUGUGAAAUAAAGUCCCAGCAGAAGUGAAGGCGACUGAAAGUGGCCAGUGUAAAGACAGAAGGAAAAGACAGCUUUCUGUCUUAGGAUCUAGCCUUCCAUGUAUAAAGAUUUUUUUUUUUUUUGAAAUUCCUAAUAGGGUGGAGUGAGGAUGUGGGGGUGGGGAGGAAGCAUGCGGAAGCUUCUUUAUAGAAGAAUGCUUGAAGAAUAAAAUAAUUUGGCAUUUCUUCUUUCUAGCAAGCAAAAGAUAUGAUUAGCAUCUAAGUUCCUUACAUUCAUAGUGAGGUUUUUUGAUGGAGUUCAAACAGAAGCAACAUACAAUGCAGUUUUUAAAUUUAUAAAAUAAUUGGAAACAAAUGGAUAGAAUGUUCCUGCAUUACUGCUUUCUUUUUAUAUUCAGCUACAGUAAUCUAGCAAUACAUUAUGCCUUUACUUUUAGAAUUAUCCACAUCCUUAAAAAGUUAUAAGCUAAGUCUUAUAAGAAAUUAAAAGGCAAAUCACACCAGUGUGAUUAUGACUGAUGAAGAUUUUGAAUGACAAAGCCUCCAACAAAAAGAGUUUGUGAAAAACAUUGUCCUCCUCAUUUUUAAAAGAGAAUAUUAACUCCAUCAAUUAUUGAAAGGAAUUAUUCAAAGGCUCCAGACAUAACUAAUUAUGGCUUAAAGAGAGCUGCCAGAGCAGAGCCUGUGUUCUAAUUAUAAAAGUCCAAGACGUUAGGAUUCAUUUUCUUAAGGAGGGCUUGAAAAUAAAUACAAAUUUUCACAUAAUCUUAUAAAAAUACACCAUUUUUUUUCUUUGUCUGCUCUCAUGUUAUCUACACCUCCCCCACCGCCGCCCACUGUGUGCUGAGACACCUGAAGGCUAGACAUAAUGAUCAACAGAGCUCCAGCCUGUCUGGACUCCAGCCAGAUUUUUUUCCCCUUCUACAAUCAAGGAGCUUGCACGCAAUGCAUGCCGAGCCUAUUCCACUGCUAUGUGCAGAUCCGGGAUGGAAGUCUUACACAUACUGCGGAAAGAUUAAAGACAACAAUAUCCCCUUUCUCUUACCCUAGACAGCCUCAAUUUUUAACCCUU
rnacentral:lncRNA from 1 species